CCUACGGGAGGCAGCAGUGGGGAAUUUUCCGCAAUGGGCGAAAGCCUGACGGAGCAACGCCGCGUGAGGGAUGAAGGCCUCUGGGCUGUAAACCUCUUUUAUCAAGGAAGAAGAUCUGACGGUACUUGAUGAAUAAGCCACGGCUAAUUCCGUGCCAGCAGCCGCGGUAAUACGGGAGUGGCAAGCGUUAUCCGGAAUUAUUGGGCGUAAAGCGUCCGCAGGCGGUCUUGUAAGUCUGUCGUUAAAGCGUGGAGCUCAACUCCAUUUCGGCGGUGGAAACUACAAGACUAGAGUGUGGUAGGGGCAGAGGGAAUUCCCGGUGUAGCGGUGAAAUGCGUAGAUAUCGGGAAGAACACCAGUGGCGAAGGCGCUCUGCUGGGCCAUAACUGACGCUCAUGGACGAAAGCUAGGGGAGCGAAAGGGAUUAGAUACCCCUGUAGUCCUAGCCGUAAACGAUGAACACUAGGUGUCGGGGGAAUCGACCCCCUCGGUGUCGUAGCUAACGCGUUAAGUGUUCCGCCUGGGGAGUACGCACGCAAGUGUGAAACUUAAAUGAAUUGACGG
rnacentral:rRNA from 1 species